GAAAAAUUGCAACAACAAAUAACUAGUAACAGUAAUCGGCUUUGAUAAUACUAACCAAUAGCAACAACCAAUAAUCAAUAACAAUGACCAAUAACCAAUAGCAGUAGGCAAUAAUCAAUAACUAUAGCCAAUAAUUAAUAGUAGUAUUCAAAAAUCAAUAGCAGUAACUAAUAUCCAGUAGCAGUAGCUAAUGAGCAGUAGCAAAAACCAAUAUCUAGUAACAAUAGCCAAUAUCCAGUAACAAAAACCAAUAUCCAAUGACAAAAAUUAAUAUCUAGUAGCAAAAACCAAUAU
rnacentral:lncRNA from 1 species